UUUAAGCGUGUAGGUGUGUGUUCCAGGUAAAUCCGGUUCACUUUAACACUGAGGCGUGAUGACGAGGCACUACGGUGCUGAAGUAACAAAUGCCCUGCUUCCAGGAAAAGCCUCUAAGCAUCAGGUAACAUCAAAUCGUACCCCAAACCGACACAGGUGGUCAGGUAGAGAAUACCAAGGCGCUUGAGAGAACUCGGGUGAAGGAACUAGGCAAAAUGGUGCCGUAACUUCGGGAGAAGGCACGCUGACACGUAGGUGAAGUGAUUUACUCACGGAGCUGAAGUCAGUCGAAGAUACCAGCUGGCUGCAACUGUUUAUUAAAAACACAGCACUGUGCAAACACGAAAGUGGACGUAUACGGUGUGACGCCUGCCCGGUGCCGGAAGGUUAAUUGAUGGGGUCAGCGCAAGCGAAGCUCCUGAUCGAAGCCCCGGUAAACGGCGGCCGUAACUAUAACGGUCCUAAGGUAGCGAAAUUCCUUGUCGGGUAAGUUCCGACCUGCACGAAUGGCGUAAUGAUGGCCAGGCUGUCUCCACCCGAGACUCAGUGAAAUUGAACUCGCUGUGAAGAUGCAGUGUACCCGCGGCAAGACGGAAAGACCCCGUGAACCUUUACUAUAGCUUGACACUGAACAUUGAGCCUUGAUGUGUAGGAUAGGUGGGAGGCUUUGAAGUGUGGACGCCAGUCUGCAUGGAGCCGACCUUGAAAUACCACCCUUUAAUGUUUGAUGUUCUAACGUGGACCCGUUACCCGGGUUGCGGACAGUGUCUGGUGGGUAGUUUGACUGGGGCGGUCUCCUCCUAAAGAGUAACGGAGGAGCACGAAGGUUGGCUAAUCCUGGUCGGACAUCAGGAGGUUAGUGCAAUGGCAUAAGCCAGCUUGACUGCGAGCGUGACGGCGCGAGCAGGUGCGAAAGCAGGUCAUAGUGAUCCGGUGGUUCUGAAUGGAAGGGCCAUCGCUCAACGGAUAAAAGGUACUCCGGGGAUAACAGGCUGAUACCGCCCAAGAGUUCAUAUCGACGGCGGUGUUUGGCACCUCGAUGUCGGCUCAUCACAUCCUGGGGCUGAAGUAGGUCCCAAGGGUAUGGCUGUUCGCCAUUUAAAGUGGUACGCGAGCUGGGUUUAGAACGUCGUGAGACAGUUCGGUCCCUAUCUGCCGUGGGCGCUGGAGAACUGAGGGGGGCUGCUCCUAGUACGAGAGGACCGGAGUGGACGCAUCACUGGUGUUCGGGUUGUCAUGCCAAUGGCACUGCCCGGUAGCUAAAUGCGGAAGAGAUAAGUGCUGAAAGCAUCUAAGCACGAAACUUGCCCCGAGAUGAGUUCUCCCUGAGACUUUAGGUCUCCUGAAGGAACGUUGAAGACGACGACGUUGAUAGGCCGGGUGUGUAAGCGCAGCGAUGCGUUGAGCUAACCGGUACUAAUGAACCGUGAGGCUUAACCUUACAACGCCG
rnacentral:rRNA from 1 species